GCACCUUUCACCUGAGCCCUAGCGCUCAAUGAUGUACGCAUCUGACGAACGCAAGCAUGGAAUGAGCAGACAACAUCAUGGACUCCCAGAUGGACUAUCAUAAGGCAGCACCACCAAUCCCUCAGGACUAACGCUUAUCCUCUAUACCGGACAUUACGGACUUUACACCUGCCUAAGCUGAGUGGAGCACUUCCGUGAAAGAGGCCUAGCACCAUAAUCCAAACAUAUGAUUUCUCCCUUCAAAGGACAAGGUGACAGGACUCUAUGUACCCUACAGUGCGCUACAUCCGAGUCCUUAGACUAGCAGACUGCUGGAC